UUUGGAGACUGUGUGGCUUGAGUGCGGAAGAGGCAAGUGGAAUUCCCAGUGUAGCGGUGAAAUGCGUAGAGAUUGGGAAGAACACCAGUGGCGAAGGCGACUUGCUGGGCCGUAACUGACGCUGAGGCGCGAAAGCGUGGGGAGCGAACAGGAUUAGAUACCCUGGUAGUCCACGCUGUAAACGAUGAAUGCUAGGUGUAGGGGGUAUCGACCCCUCCUGUGCCGCAGUAAACACAAUAAGCAUUCCGCCUGGGGAGUACGGCCGCAAGGUUGAAACUCAAAGGAAUUGACGGGGGCCCGCACAAGCAGCGGAGCAUGUGGUUUAAUUCGACGCAACGCGAAGAACCUUACCAGGUCUUGACAUCCUGCUAACGAAGUAGAGAUACAUUAGGUGCCCUUCGGGGAAAGCAGAGACAGGUGGUGCAUGGUUGUCGUCAGCUCGUGUCGUGAGAUGUUGGGUUAAGUCCCGCAACGAGCGCAACCCUUAUGAAUAGCUACUAACGCGUGAUGGCGAGGACUCUAUUGAGACUGCCGGGGAUAACUCGGAGGAAGGUGGGGACGACGUCAAAUCAUCAUGCCCCUUAUGACCUGGGCUACACACGUGCUACAAUGGCAUCUACAAAGAGCAGCGAAACUGUGAAGUAGAGCAAAUCUCAAAAAAGAUGUCCCAGUUCGGAUUGUGGGCUGCAACCCGCCCACAUGAAGUUGGAGUUGCUAGUAAUCGCGAAUCAGCAUGUCGCGGUGAAUACGUUCCCGGGCCUUGUACACAC
rnacentral:rRNA from 1 species